UACGUAGGGGGCAAGCGUUGUCCGGAAUCAUUGGGCGUAAAGAGCGCGUAGGCGGCCCUGUAAGUCCGCUGUGAAAGUCAAGGGCUCAACCCUUGGAUGCCGGUGGAUACUGCAGGGCUAGAGUUCGGAAGAGGCGAGUGGAAUUCCUGGUGUAGCGGUGAAAUGCGCAGAUAUCAGGAGGAACACCGGUGGCGAAGGCGGUUCUCUGGGCAUUACCUGACGCUGAGGAGCGAAAGUGUGGGGAGCAAACAGG
rnacentral:rRNA from 1 species